rnacentral:rRNA from 1 species
CAGCCGCCACGGGAAUACAGAGGGUGCGAGCGUUAAUCGGAUUUACUGGGCGUAAAGCGUGCGUAGGCGGCUUUUUAAGUCGGAUGUGAAAUCCCUGAGCUUAACUUAGGAAUUGCAUUCGAUACUGGGAAGCUAGAGUAUGGGAGAGGAUGGUAGAAUUCCAGGUGUAGCGGUGAAAUGCGUAGAUAUCUGAAGGAACACCAGUGGCGAAAGCGGCUUCCUGGUCCAGUACCGACGUUCAGGCACGAAAGCGUGGGGAGCAAACAGGAUUAGAUACCCCCGUAGUCCCUGUCUCUUAUAC